GGUGGGGUUCCCGAGCGGCCAAAGGGAGCAGACUGUAAAUCUGCCGUCAUCGACUUCGAAGGUUCGAAUCCUUCCCCCNACCACCA
rnacentral:tRNA from 1 species